UCGUGCUAGGCGGGGAGAUAGCGGUGCCCUGUACUCGCAAUCCGCUCUAGCGAGGCUGAAUUCCUCCCAGAGGUUCUGUACCGUCGGCCACUGUCGGCGAGCUUCGAUGUUGAGAGCUGGGCCCCAUGCGGCGGAGAGCUGUGAACCCCGUCAGAUUCGGAAGAAAGCAGCGGUAAGCGGUAAUCUCCGGGCGACGUGGGACUACCUGGCUUGAGUCGGGCCCGCCCGAUAUGUCGGCGGAAGGGAUCGACGGGUGGUGCACGA
rnacentral:SRP_RNA from 1 species